rnacentral:rRNA from 1 species
ACUCCUACGGAGGCGAGCAGUGGGGAAUAUUGGCACAAUUGGGCGCAAGGCCUGACUGCAGCCAUGCCGCGUGUGUGAAGAAGGCCUUCGGGUUGUAAAGCACUUUCAGUCGUGAGGAAGGUAGUGUAGUUAAUAGCUGCAUUAUUUGACGUUAGCGACAGAAGAAGCACCGGCUAACUCCGUGCCAGCAGCCGCGGUAAUACGGAGGGUGCGAGCGUUAAUCGGAAUUACUGGGCGUAAAGCGCAUGCAGGUGGUUUGUUAAGUCAGAUGUGAAAGCCCGGGGCUCAACCUCGGAAUUGCAUUUGAAACUGGCAGACUAGAGUACUGUAGAGGGGGGUAGAAUUUCAGGUGUAGCGGUGAAAUGCGUAGAGAUCUGAAGGAAUACCGGUGGCGAAGGCGGCCCCCUGGACAGAUACUGACACUCAGAUGCGAAAGCGUGGGAGCAAACAGGAUUAGAUA